rfam:Biomphalaria glabrata isolate BB02 unplaced genomic scaffold LGTN_random_Scaffold1500, whole genome shotgun sequence.
UGGCUGAGUGGUAAAGCGCUUGACUUCCGAACCGGUGGUCCCAGGAUCGAAUCCUGG